CCCCUCCCAGGUUCACACUGGAGAGUUUCCAGUACUCUACCAGCUUUGACUAUGGGAGAGAGAGUCAAGCAGGGGCCUACCCAUUCCAUUCCUAGCUUGGGCAGUGGCUAGCGAGUAGAAGCCAAUCUGCUACAAGU